GACGAACGCUGGCGGCGUGCUUAACACAUGCAAGUCGAACGGAAAGGCCCUGCUUUUGUGGGGUGCUCGAGUGGCGAACGGGUGAGUAACACGUGAGUAACCUGCCCUUGACUUUGGGAUAACUUCAGGAAACUGGGGCUAAUACCGGAUAGGAGCUCCUGCUGCAUGGUGGGGGUUGGAAAGUUUCGGCGGUUGGGGAUGGACUCGCGGAUUAUCAGCUUGUUGGUGGGGUAGUGGCUUACCAAGGGUUUGACGGGUAGCCGGCCUGAGAGGGUGACCGGCCACCUUGGGACUGAGAGACGGCCCAGAAUCCUACGGGAGGCAGCAGUGGGGAAUAUGGCACAAUGGGCGGAAGCAUGAUGCAGCAACCCCGCGUGCGGGAUGACGGCCUUCGGGUCGUAAACAGCUUUCGCCUGUGACGAAGCGUGAGUGACGGUAAUGGGGAAAGAAGCACCGGCAAACUACGU
rnacentral:rRNA from 1 species